UGUUGAGAAUCUCAGAUUAAUUAUUAAAAGUCAAGAUUUUAUUUGAGUAGGUAAAUCACUUGAAAGUGUUCAAGUUAGAAUGCAGCCACAUAACUGUGUAAAAAUGUAUAGAUAUUCUGUAAGUUGGGUGUGAAAAGAGAGCUUAUAUAAUAAGCUAAAAUUCAUAAAAAAGUGACCAAAUUGCAGUUUCUUCACCCCACCACAUUAAAAUUUGACUCAAACUCAUACUAUGGAUUUUAAUAGAGACUAGACAUUUCCAUCUCUAGUCACCUCUAAAUGAGACUCUAUGCAGUGGUGCCAGCCAUUGAUAAGUCUUCACAGCUGGUUGUGAGGCAGUCCUGGUGAAGAGGAGGACUAAGAAUGUUGGAUGAUGGAAUGCAAACUGGUGCAGCAACUGUGGAAAACAGGACGGAGGGUCCUAAAAAAUUAAACAUAGAACUACCAUAUGAUCCAGUAAUUCCACCUCAGAUUAUUUACCUAAAGAAUAUGAAAACACUAAUUUGAAAAGAUAUAUGUGCCCCUGUGUUUAUUGCAGCAUUAUUUACAAUAGCCAAAAUAUGGAAGCAGCCCAAGUGUCCACUGAUGGAUGAAUGGAUGAAGAAAAUGUGUGUGUGGAGUGGGGGGUAUAUGUAAUAUACAAUGGAAUAUUUCUCAGCCAUAAGAAAGAAUGAAAUCUUGCCAUUUGCGGUGAAUGGGUGGAGAUAGAGAGUAUAAGUGAAAUAAGUCAGAGAAAGACAUAAUUUCACUCGUGGAAUUUAAGAAACAAAUGAACAAAGGGAAAAAAAAAAAAGACAAACCAAGAAACAGACUCUUAACUAUGGAGAACAAACUGAUAGUUACCAGAAAAAGGAUGGGUGAUAUAGGUGAGGGAGUUACAAGAGUACUUUUAUCUUGAUGAGCACUGAGUAACAAAAUUGUUGAAUCACUAUAUUGUACACCUAAAACUAAUACCACACUGUAUGUUAACUACACUAGAUUUUUUUUUUUUUUUUUGGUGCAAAAUGGUGGUUUAUUAAAGCAUGGGUUCUGUCCCCAUGUUGGGGCAAGUAAGGAAAAGGGAGAUUUCAAAAGAACUUUUCAUAUGCUAAAGAGGACUGAUUUACAAGAUACCAGAGACUUUGCCAUUGUCAAGGUUGUUUCUCCCCCAGCAAGGUAUUAACCUUAAAACAGCUGGGAGAUUCCUGGAAGAAUGUCACUCAUGUCCCACCCAGAGUGGGGGUGGGGGUGGAAGAGGUUGCAGGGUGUAUGCUUCUGCUUUGUCUUCAGCUAGCCCCUUCUGCUCCCUCCUCAUUUCCUCCCUGAGCAAUUUUGACCCUUAAAUCUAAGGUUGUUGAAGGCGGAAGGUCUCAUUUUCUGUAAAACGUCCUCCUGCUGAAAAGGGGCAGAGAUGUCCCUACCCAGGGGAGUUACGAAAGGGGAGGCAGCUGAAUCUAAGGCUGACAGGAAGUCAGUAAGGAAGUAUCUCUGUGGGUGGUAAGAAUCAUCUGUUGAUGUGAAAUCAUAGUAGGGACGGAGUCUCAGCACUAAGUGGAGAGAUACUAUAGAUGUGGGCGGAUUCCUCUCCUCGAGGUCCCCAAUAUAUCCUGAGGUUCCCGCACCUGGUGGGGAAAUCUGAAGUGGGUGGUGUUAAGUCCAAGGGUUGCUCUUCUUGAUGGGGUUUUGGACUAUAGGUGAAAUUCGGUGGGUUGAGUUCAGGAGCCGACGACUAAGAAAGAAUUCUUGAGAUGUCUUUGGUGCAAAAUGGUGGUUUAUUAAAGAAGGGGGACGGGACCGGUUGGCUGAAAGAACAGCCUACACUAGAUUUUUUUUAGAAGGCAUCAAGUUGAGUGUUAGGGUACAUGUUGCUUAAUAUAAACUACUUUACCUUUUUUUUUUUUUUUUUACUUUUUUAAAUGAAAAAAAAAGUUGGAUGAUGGCUAAGGCAGGUUGUGAAGUUACCAUGUGACUGAUUGGGCCAUCAAGAGUCCUUAAACUGUGCUCUGAAUAAAACCCAGUUGCUGGCAGCCAUCCUAGGGGAGCACCUAAUAAUUAAUAUUGGCAAAAUCCUUUACUCCUGCCAAUACCUUCAUCCAGAAGGAAGGAUCCACUCUUUUAUUCCUGAAUAUGGAAACCAGCUGUAGCCUAAAUUCUUGCAUCUUGUAUUGGUUCACAAAUACUUACUAUACACUACUUUGUGCUAAGCUUUGUUCUAGGUACAAGGGACAGCAGUGAAAAAAUCCUAAUCUACAUCAUUUUAUUCUUUAUUUUCCAGUAAAAAAGUGGACAUAGGGUUGAGGAGUGGUUGCUUCUUAGAAUGUUCUUUGGACCUUUCCAAAAGAUGAGAAUUGAAAUUCAUUUAUCUUUUGACAGCAAUGGUAGCCUUGAUACAUGUCAUGGGCUAUAUAGUUUGUGUUCUCAAAAUCAUGCUUAUAAAUCUAAUGUUUGGAAAGGAUUUAUUCCCCUGAUCUUGAGAAAUUGAGAGUGAUUGUUGAUUUAGAGCAUGAAUUCAUAUUGUCAUUAAUUUGUUAUAUGAAUUUUAGUUUUGCCCCAAAAUCAUGUCUUCAGUGGCUGAUGCUAGUAAGUCCUCAGUGGGAGUCAAGGCCCCAAUUUUCUAGUACCUUCUGAUCUUCGGAAGUAUUUGUAAUUAUUCAGUUUCUAUGUUUAAUUUUAUAAUGGAUCUCAAAUAUCUGUGUUCCUAUAGCUCAUAAAUUCCCAAAGUCACCCACAGCUAAAUAAAACUAUUUCUUCCUGAAUUUUUCUUUUCUUCUGAGCUCUGCAGUUGAGGUGGAACUAAGUACAGUGUACUUUACAGGCUUUUGUUGUCUAGUUACUUGAGAAACACUUCCCUGUGAUGAAAUCAUCAAUUGCCUUUUUUUUUUUGUAACUGAGUGGUUAGGACAUUUUAUCCUUUUGCUGUGGUUCUUGCCUAAAAAAUUUAUUUCAUUUCAUAUGUGGGAGAAUUAGAUCCAGUUUUGAGGAUUUACCCUUGGUUCACUUAUAGACUAGCAUUAGUCUUUUUAUACUUAGAUUUUUAAAAACUCUUAAAAAUAGAAAUUUGGUAUGAGCUGUUUCUCUUUCCCAGGCUACUUGAGGAGGUUCUCUUAUUUGGUCUCAAAUGGGUUUAUAAUAUCUUCCUAACAUUUAAAAAGCUGAUGAUCUCUGUGCAGAUGAGGAGGUAAGACUGAGAAGAGCAUGUCAUUUACCCUGAUGUUACAUGGUGGUAUAAGUGGAAUCAUAUCUUGCUAGGACCUGAAAACUGAGGUGUCUGACUACUGACAAGAUUAGUCUGUAACAUGGGUCUGUUUAGAGGGAAGGUUAGAGAUUACAAAACACUAUAAGAUACAGAAAGUUAUAAAACUUACUUUUUGAUGGAGAAGAGAAAUUAACUCUUUAUCUCUUUAGAACAUGAUUUCAAUUUAGUGUCACAGAUAGUCGGAGGCAGUGUUUUAAGUGUGAUAGUUCCUCUCUUUCUACACCUGAGUCCCCUGGCAUCCACAGGAAUAUUCAAAGGAGUAAGACUGUCUCUGUUCCCAAAAAGCUUACAUAUGGUUAAAGAAUAGAAUCUACACAAGUAAAAGAGGAGUGAGAGAUUGAAUUCCUAAAGGACUGGGAUAGACUUCUUUAGGACCUAGCAUUUGAAGCAAACUUUGAAGGAGUUGGGGAGGGAGGGUUGGUAUCAACCAUAGCCAGGAAUAUUUAGGAAAUGUAUUCAUCAUCUAAUGAAUCAUGGUAUUACAGCUGAGGGCCGCAUCUAAUGCUCUUUGUAUACACACUACCUAUUGAAGUGACAGCUUCCAACCCACUUGAGCAUGAGUUUCCAAGUUAGACCUACUUGAAUUCAGAUCCUGGCUGUACCACUGUUAGCUGUGUGACCUUGAGCAAGUUGCUUUAUAAUUUCACCAUCUGCAACAAGACAAAGUAGUACUAACUUGUCAAUUGUGAAGAAUGAAUGAGAUAAAUCAUGUAAGAUAUGUGAUACAAUGCCUGUUCAUAGCUAUGAUGGGAAAAGAAUUAAAAUGAAGUAACUCUUAUUGUGUGAUUUGUGCCAGGGAAGUUGAGAACAUUAUAAUGGUUCUCUUUCCUGAAAUUAAAAAAAAAAAAAUCAGGAAGCUCUGGAUAAGUAAUAAAACUACCAUCUGGUUUUAUAUAUCUGUUUUUCUAGGGAGGUUAUCUGUCCUUAGAAGCAAGUCAAAACUCUGUCCUAAAAAAGAAUGCAGUAUGUAUUGAUUCAAGUGUAAUAUAAUCUCUAUAUCCCCUGCUAAAUGUAGCUAUUGAAGGAACAUUGAGCAAAGCCUUGGGUAAAGGAAAAUAUCUUUUAGAAAUAAAGAGCUUCUUGAGUUAGUUUACUUGAGAAGCUCUGAGUAUUUCCCAGGUAGGUCUCCCUUCUUUCAAAUCCCCAGCCUCAUCCUGGGCCUGCUUUCCUACUAAGAAAUGCCUCUGCCUGGACUCUUGAACAAAUAUGUUCCAGGGCAGUGUCAUUAGCCAAGCUGAUAUGGGAAUUAAACAAACAGGGUGAAUCAGCAUGAAUUCAUGAAGGUUGGCAACAAGUCAAUUUCUUUCUCUACUUCUCCACUUGUUUUUUCAGUGUACCUGAUUACUAGUGACCAGUAUGUCCUGAUAACAGAGAAUAGCAAGCAUAUCAAAGCAAGAGGUUGUUUGUCUAGUGACCUGCUCCUUGAUAACAAGAAGGAGUUUUUGUUGAUUUGGAUAUGCAUACUGUAAGGCAGCAAAACAGAGGAUGGGAAUUAUAGGUGUAGGUACUGGGGAUGAUUUUUUUUGUGGCACAAUGCCACAGGGGUAUUUAAAAAAGGAUUAGAACAAAACAUUUUUCCCUCUGAAUUGCACAAAUUUGAAAGGAAUGUUUGUCUUCUGACCUAAAAAAAGAGUUAACUGGCAUGUGGACAUUUUAUUGUCCAAUUAUAUAUAUUAAUUUGAAAUUGUACACAUAGUCUCAUUCCUUUUGUUGUAUUCUCUCCUCAAAUACUGGAUUUUAUACUUGCCCAUUCUUAGAUCUUACAUAUCUGAUUAAUAUCACUCUAGUAGGAUAUUACCUUGCUCAGCUUAAACAGCUGAUUUCCUUGUCAUUAUAUGAAAUUUGUAAAGUAUAAGAAAGUUUCAUCUAUUUUAUUUACUUAAGAUUUAUUUAUUUUUAGAGAGAGAGAGCGUAUUUGCACAUGAAGAGGGGCAGAGGGAGAGGGAGAGGGAGAAUCUCCAGCAGACUCCCUGCUGAGCACAGAGCCCGACAUGGGGCUUGAGCUCACAACCCUGAGAUCAUGACCUGAGCUGAACUCAAGAGUAGGGUGCUCAACCAACUGAGCCACCCAGGUGCCCCAAUCUCUAUUUUAAUUAAGUUCAGAAAUAGGAACUUUUUUUUCCCUAUGAGUGAGAUUAGUAAGAAAAAUUAAGGCAGGCAAUAGAGUUUAGUUUUUCAACUAAAAAUAUUUGGGACUUCAAUUUAAAUUGGUAGGGGUACCAAAGGUAAUGGAUUGAAGAAGAUAGUUGGAUUUUCUUAAUGUCUUAAAAAUAGCCAACUAAGCCGCUACACAGGAAAAGAGAUUGAAAGGGUAUUUUAAAAAAUAUAUUCCCAAUUGAAAAAAUUUAGUAUACAAAGUAAAAAGCUAUUCCUAAAAUAGUGAAUUGCUGCUGUAUCUAGAAAUAAAACUCUAGGACAUCCCUUUCCUCCUCUAGAUGUGCACCCUUUCUGAUGGCUACUCCGGGCUACAUUGGUAGGGGAAAGCUUUUCCAGGACUGUCAGCUAAUGGUACAGAAAUAAUUGACAUUUAGUGUCUGCCUACAUUUUCCUUUUGAAAGCCCAUAGGAGGUUUUCAAAUACUUGUUGAGUAAGUAAAUGUAAGAAAGAAUGAAUGAGUGAAUGAGAACCUUGAUUGAUUGCUAUGUUAGCCUAACUCUGAGUCUUAUUUAUUACAAGUUUUAUGACUGUUAGGAAGUUACUUUACCCAUGUCUUUCUUUGUCUAUAAAGUGGAGUUAAUAACACGUACCACAUAGAGUACUUAUUAAAUGUUUAUUGAAUAUCUGAAUUAAUCACUAGAUUCAGUUCAGCUGUACUGACUGAGUCCAGUUUUCUGGAGCCUGGGGAUUUGCCCUUUUAACAAAUCUGUUGAUAAUUCUUAUGCAUCCAAAGUUUGAAAACAACUCAUUUAAACUGUACUGUUUAUUGGGCAGGGCACUAUGAUAGAUGCCCAAGGCAGUACUAAAAGCAAUCAGACUGCCUCUGUUUUCAAUAAAUUUACAUAUAGUUAAAGGAUAGACAUAAUAUAAACAAGCACAGAGGAAGGAGAGAUUAAUUCUCUGAAAGGAUUGGUGAAACUUUACGAUCUAGCAUUUGUAAGAAUUAAGUAAGAUGUAAAGAAUGCCUGGAUCAAUAUGUGUCAUAUGGUAAAUGCAGAACGAUUGGUAUUGUUAUUUCCACAUAUGCUUUGUCUCUAUCCUCCAGUUCUUCCUAAUCUGUAAGGACUGGGUCUGUAUUACCCAUAGAUCUUCUCCAGCCAAUUUGUAAAUGACCUUGGAUGACUAUACUAACUUUUCUGGAAGAUUUUGAUGAUUUUUUACUGUUUUAUUCUGGUAACAGAGUUGUGACAGGUGUUUUCUUUCUCUUUUAGCUUACUCAUUUCCAUGUUAUGACUAUGUAAAAGUUUUCAUGAAAUUUAAUUGCACUCACAUUGUACCUUGCUGUAUAUCCUGAGACUCAACAUAUGAUUUCAGGAAAUUCACUUUCUAAACUGUAGAAAAGAAAUCCAUUUAGUCAAUUCUCAUUUAGUCAGGUUUUUCUGGCUUGUGGAUUAUUCACAUUCUUUGCCUCUGCACUUACAGGUUUCCUUUUAUCUGUGUCUUUGCUCGUUAGGCAUGAAUAGAGAAAGAGAAGGCAGCAGAUCUGGUAAAAAGAUUUAGUAUGUGAACUGAAAGAACUGAUGGCUAAAAUAAGGCUCAGAGAAUUCUGUUGAUAUUAGAGAGGGUGUCACAGUUCUCACUUGAUAGCAGAGGUGUUACCUAAUGAUCCUGGCAUGCUUAGGAUAUCGAUCAGAGAUUUUGACCUUUGAUCCUGCUACUAACUUACUGUGUAACUUGAGCAAACCAGUCAGUCUAUUCUUGUAAUAGGGAAAAUACCUCCAUGAUUCUGGAUUCAUGGUCCAAAUGAAUGUCAGUAAAAGGAAUUUAAAGAAUUCAUUGAAUGUGAACACAAUAUUCUAGAUAUUAAACAAGAAACCUCAAAAAAAUGUACCUUGUCUCUUAAGAUAUUACAUGAGAUGAAACUGGAAAUGGGUUUUUUUUUCUGGACCUUUUCAGAAUUCAUAUACCAGUAGCACUAGAAACUAUGUAAAAUAUUUUACAAUUAAUGAUUUUGUACUGCUUGUAAAACUUAAAGGACAAUUUUCAUACCGAUUUAAUUGAGAGACUUGCCCAAAGUUAAUCAGCUAAAUAAUGCUGAAAUGGGAACUAAAAUAGUUUUUCUGAUUUCCUGUCCACCAAAAUGACAUGCGCUAACCAAGAAGUGAACAUUUUUGUUCUAUUUAUGAAAGUCUGAUCUAUUUAUACUCUGUUGUUAUCAUGUGUUUAAUUUUUGUUUUUAAACCAAAUGGGGCAGAUGAUAUGUUGUUAAAGCAAAACCAAAGAUUAAGGACUAAGCAGGAAUCUUCUGAAUCAUAGGGAGGAAUUCUCGAUCCAAAAUAUUGUGGAAGUUUGUAACAUGAGCUAUAACAGUAUUAGUGACUUAUCACUAGUUUAAAACCAUAUAAAGCUGUUAUGUUAUUAGCUCUUAUAUUGUUAUCAAAUGAAAUUGGCUCUAUCUUUUAGAGGUCAAUCUUGACUUCAAAGAAGGUUAAAAAAAAAGUCUAAAAUCCUUUGGAUUAAAGAAUCCAAAAGUUAUGGGUUGCCAGAAUCAAAAGGGAGGUUUUUAAUUCAGCUUCUAAAAUACCAAAAGAUAAAGCAGAUAAAAAAUAAAGCUUAUGCCCACAGAUUUCACAACAUACAGUUGUUCAGUGCAAAAUUGGGCACCAGAAAAGCAGAUGUUCUCUUCAAGUCUCUUAUACUAUUGUAAGGUCCGUGAGUAUGGAAGGGCCGAUUGUAUGAUAGGUACUCAAUAAAUAUUUGCUGAAUGAAUGAAUGAAUGAUAUGUAAAUGCAAAUGCAUCUGCUUCUCUGUUAGCUGUUUUUUCUGUCAGAAGACUUGAUCUUUUAUCAUUUGAAUUCCACAAAAAACAUCUUAACCAAGUCAUGUCUUUGGGCCAAUCUGUUUCCAGGCUUGUUUGUGUUUUUCACAUUCUUUUUUUGGCCUGCAAUAAUAUUCUGUGACCUUGUUCAUGAAUUCCAGUAGGUCAUUCAGUUGGGACCCAAGGAAGUCAGUAAAUUAAGCUUGAUUUGGAAUGGAAUACAUAGAGUGUGUGGUUUGGAUUGGAAUCAAAUUCGCUCUGGCUAAUCUUAUUUUGGUUUAAUCUAUGUGGGAAAGAAUAGAAAUAGAGGAAAAACAAAUAAACAAAAAAAAAGGGGAAGCUAUUCUUGUAUGAUGGUAAGCAGUUUCUGUAAGGAAUAGUUCUGAGGGCAAAAACCUAAAUUAUUUUUAUUGGAAGUUUGGGGACAAGACUGAGCAAAGGAAAAAUCAGCGUCUCCAGUCAUCGUAGUUGGUGUUUACUUUUUCAGCUUUCCCAAACCACAGUCUCUAGGCUUUUAACAUGUGGAUGCUCCAUAGACAAGGCUCUUGCUUCUUCAUCUUCUCCAGGACUCUGGAAAUAGAUAAGCCCAAUCUUUGGGGAACCUCAGCAAUCAGGGAGGCAGAAAAAGUUUCUGAAACUGAGUUUACAGUCAGAUUAUCUAGACUCUUGAGCUUCUUUUUUUUUUUUUUUUAAAGAUUUUAUUUAUUUAUUUGAGAGAGAAUGAGAGACAGAGAGCAUGAGAGGGCAGAGGGGGAAGCAGACCCCCCGCUGAGCAGGGAGCCGGAUGCGGGACUGCGGGACUCGAUCCUGGGACUCCAGGAUCAUGACCUGAGCCGAAGGCAGUCGCUUAACCGACUGAGCCACCCAGGCGCCGACUCUUGAGCUUCUUAUAUAGGCCUAAGGAGAAGAAAUGUGGAGAAAGUGCAGUAAGUUCCUGCACUAAUAAUGAAUUUCUUUAAGCUGAUUUUUUACCCCUUCCACUAUUUCCAACUUGCAAUGUAUUGAACCCUGAAGACUUAACAUUGGUGCUCAGAGGAGAAGAAAUCCCCUCUGUGAACUGACUGAGAGCAUUUGAAUAAAAGAGAAACUUUUUCAAAGCUGCCUGGGAAGGAGGAGGCUGGGAAGGAGCUAGUGAAGCCAUCAGAGUGAGAGCCCUUUAGUUUGGAGUUCUGACUGGGGUGGGGGGAGUCAUGAGUGGAGUUGUUCUUUGAAGAGAAUUUCAUGUGGUACCUACUAAGUUCUGACAAAGGAGAGAGUCAGGACUUAGCAUUCAGGAGUUUCUUGAAUGUAAUAUUUGUUCCUGACAAUUGAAUUUUCCCUCCUACAGAAGUCAGUAUUUUGCUCAUUUAACAAAUUAAGUUUUCAUUUAAAAAAGGGGAGGAGUCAUCACAUUAUUUCUAAUUUCUCAGUUUGACCUGUGUGUUAAAGGUAUGAAUUAAGGACCUGAAACAUACGAAAUUUUUCCAGGUGCUACAGAGUUCUAAGUACCACGCCUCCUACUUAGUUGCCUGAUAACUGGUGCAGGCUUCACUUGCCUGAAUAGAGGGAAAUAAUAAUGGGUGACUCGACCAAAGGUACUUGUAUACAGUUCUUUUCAGCAUUCAGAUUCAUGAUUCCAAAGCAGUAAUAAAUUUUGGCUUUGGUUAAUUUUCCAGGAGCAAAUCUAAUUAGUGGCAGUCUUUUAAAAGUAUAAAUGACCUUUGGCUGCUUUGGGAAGAACUGAAAUAUUUAAAAAAAUUUAUUAGGCAGUAUUUCCUACAUAUAAAAUUAUACAUAAAUAUACAAUUAUACACGCAUAUAAUUCAUAUUAUACACUAUAGAUAGAGGUUUGAAAAAUAAGAUCCAAUUACACACAGGUCAGCUCAAGAGAUCAUAUGUUCUGUACUUGCUUACUGGAGUUACAAAGGUCUUUGAGUAGAUGCUGUUUGGACAGAGAAGGAUACCAUCAUUUCAUUCUCUGUUUUAGAAAAAAAUGGUUACCAUUAUAUUUGUUCAGUUCUGAUUCUCUCUGAUAAUUGGGUUUUUUCUUUUUGGAAAUGGCAUCUUAAAAAUGUAAAUUUACUGGGUGAGACAUUAUUGAGUAUGUUUCACUUAAAAUAGUUGUUGGUAAUAGGAAAAUGGCUAGAUUAAAUAAGCCACAGUCUAAUAAAUGAACUUUUUAAAGGGUUUACAAAAAUAUGGACAUAUGAAGAUGCCUUAAAUCUUUUUUGAAACGAGAUAUAUGAAUAAAUAAGGUUCGAAAGUGCUUACCUUAUUAAAGUUUAAAAAGGAGGAUAUAAAGUUGCAUAUUCUAGUAUAAUCACAACUACUGAGAUAGUUGGAAGAAGAAUUAAACAUUUGUAUCUCUGGGUGAUAGAAUUCUUUCUUCUUUUUACAGUUAUAUUUCCCAAACUUUAUUGAGCAUAUUUGUUCUUACAACGGAGAAGUCUCUUUUAUUUUUCUAAAAAAUAACUUGAUUGUUGCUGCAGUUUCCAGGAUGCCCAAGCUGAUUCCAGUUGCAUUUCUAGUGCGCUUCUGCCACCUUGUGCUUUCGGAAACCCAUUACAGUGAUCCGCGAAGAAAGAAAAUUACUUGGGAAGAUUGUUGUUUCUUUGGAGAUUUGUUUUCUGGAAAUAUCUUAGAAGCAGCCUGCUGAAUUUUCUCUCUGGUGGAUACGGUGUAGUCCUGCGAAGAACACAAGCCUUCCAAUUAGAUCUGCUUUGGUAUCCUGACUAGGCUGCUUGUUUGAUUUAUGUGAUCCUGUUUGAAUAAUUUCAUCCUCUCACCUGUAGAAUGGACCUAAUAAAGCCUGUGCUGUUACUGAAAGAUUAAGGGAUUUCAAUAUGCCCACCACUGUGCCUGGUGCAUACCAUGCACUUGUGUCUGCUGAACGAGUGACCCUGAGGUAUUUAUAAAUGGAUUCUGCAUAUAAAGGCAAGUCCAGGGGGGUGGAGGAAGGAUAAGAAGAUGGAAGCAGAAACACAGCUAAAUUUAUUCAGGUAGUUAAAGCUCCUAUAGAAGCCAAAGCCAUUAGCAGGGUGGAAAUCUCAGAUUGCAUAUGUAAAUGGCAGAACUGUAUGAUUAUUCUUUU